GUCCAGAUCGCGCCGAACCACAGCCAAAGGCCUGCAAAGGCGAUGGCGACAGCUGGCCAAAUGCGUGUUGCGAGGCCCGCAAGGCCGGCUGU
rnacentral:sRNA from 1 species